UAAGGAAUAUUGGGCAAUGGACGCAAGUCUGACCCAGCCAUGCCGCGUGCAGGAUGACGGCCCUAUGGGUUGUAAACUGCUUUUGUACGGGAAGAACCCCUUCGAUUCUUCGGAGGCUGACGGUACUGUACGAAUAAGCAUCGGCUAACUCCGUGCCAGCAGCCGCGGUAAUACGGAGGAUGCAAGCGUUAUCCGGAUUUAUUGGGUUUAAAGGGUGCGCAGGCGGAAUGGUAAGUCAGUGGUGUAAUCUCCCGGCUCAACCGGGACAGUGUGGAUGAUACGGACGGUCUAGAGUAGAGAUGGAGUAGGAGGAAUGUGUCAUGUAGCGGAGAAAAGCUUAGAUAUGACACAGAACACAGAUCGCGGAGGCAGAGCACCAAGUUGUAACUGACGAUAAUGCACGAAAGCGUGG
rnacentral:rRNA from 1 species